rnacentral:rRNA from 1 species
AGUGAACGCUGGCGGUAGGCCUAACACAUGCAAGUCGAACGGCAGCACAGUAAGAGCUUGCUCUUACGGGUGGCGAGUGGCGGACGGGUGAGGAAUACAUCGGAAUCUACUUUUUCGUGGGGGAUAACGUAGGGAAACUUACGCUAAUACCGCAUAAGACCUACGGGUGAAAGCAGGGGAUCUUCGGACCUUGCGAGAUCGAAUGAGCCGAUGUCGGAUUAGCUAGUUGGCGGGGUAAAGGCCCACCAAGGCGACGAUCCGUAGCUGGUCUGAGAGGAUGACCAGCCACACUGGAACGGAGACACGGUCCAGACUCCUACGGGAGGCAGCAGUGGGGAAUAUUGGACAAUGGGCGCAAGCCUGAUCCAGCCAUACCGCGUGGGUGAAGAAGGCCUUCGGGUUGUAAAGCCCUUUUGUUGGGAAAGAAAAGCAGCAGGUUAAUACCCCGCUGUUCUGACGGUACCCAAAGAAUAAGCACCGGCUAACUUCGUG